GGUUGUAGCUCAAUGGUAGGGUGCUUGCCUAGCACAUGUAAGGCCCUGGGUUCCAUUCUCAGCACCA
rnacentral:tRNA from 1 species